GUUUAAGCGUGUAGGCUGGUUUUCCAGGCAAAUCCGGAAAAUCAAGGCUGAGGCGUGAUGACGAGGCACUACGGUGCUGAAGCAACAAAUGCCCUGCUUCCAGGAAAAGCCUCUAAGCAUCAGGUAACAUCAAAUCGUACCCCAAACCGACACAGGUGGUCAGGUAGAGAAUACCAAGGCGCUUGAGAGAACUCGGGUGAAGGAACUAGGCAAAAUGGUGCCGUAACUUCGGGAGAAGGCACGCUGAUAUGUAGGUGAAGUCCCUCGCGGAUGGAGCUGAAAUCAGUCGAAGAUACCAGCUGGCUGCAACUGUUUAUUAAAAACACAGCACUGUGCAAACACGAAAGUGGACGUAUACGGUGUGACGCCUGCCCGGUGC
rnacentral:rRNA from 1 species